ACUCCUCAUGCGUUGCUCCGUGACCGGAUGGUUUGACCUUAUAGCGCUAGCUUUCUUUCUCACUGUUCUUUCCAUCUGCUUCCACAAAAUUGAAUCUAAAUACUUAUAAAUUACAGUGAAAUCCAUUCCAAUACCCAAUUCCCAUGAUAGCAAUGGAGCCAGAAGCAAAACUAACCUUAGAAACACUAAAUCUCUUCUAAACAGAUAGCAAAUCUAAAUUAAAACAAAAUAAACUCAGUGCAAAAUCCAUGAAUUAGAGGCAACAAUUAACCUCAACCCACAUUCCAUGUCCUACAACAACGAGAGAUUUACUUUGUCAAUGCAAUCAAACACAAAAUCGAACAAACUAAUGUGCAAAAAUAGAAAAUGGUACAUACAAUGAGAGGGGCGCGACGAGUAGGCAGUGCUGGUCGCGGUGGCUAGGGUAAGCAGACGAGAGGGGCGGCGACGAGCAGGUAGCGCUGGUCGCGGUGGCUAGGGUUAGCAGACGAGAGGAGCGGCGACUAGCAGGCGGCGCUGGUCGUGGUGGCUAGGGUUAGCAGACGAGAAGGUCGGCGCGACGUGGCAGGCGGUGCAGUAGCGCGCCUAGGGAUAGCAGAUGACAGGGGUGGCGAAAUUAGGGCUUCAUUCCCUUUCCUGUUUCAGUUGAUUUAUUUGAUUGAGAGAGGUGAAUCGAGAGAGAGGGUCUAAGAAAGUAGAUGCGGCGCCAGAAUCGGAAGCAACAACUGCUCGUCGGCGGCGGCAUCAACCGCGACAAUGAGGAUUCCGAUUUGGAAGAAAGUUAGGAUUUUCUCUUGCGUUCUUCACUGGUUUGAGAGAGACAAUUUGACGGGGUGGAGAGCAGACGAUUUGGAAGGAAGUUAGAAUUUUAGGUCGGAGAGGGUGGAGUCUAGAUCUAGGCCCUAGGGUUUUAGGCGGAGGAAUUAAGGCGGGCGAGGCCGGCGCUCCUCGCCUGAACUUCGGCGGCCGCGGCGGCAGAGCCCUAGCUGGUCCGCUCAGCUUGAAAGAGAAGGGGGAGAGAAUUUUCUGUGUAAAUUUUUAGGAGAGCUUGAUUGGGAGGGAUUU
rnacentral:lncRNA from 1 species